rnacentral:rRNA from 1 species
UACGGAGGGUGCAAGCGUUAAUCGGAAUUACUGGGCGUAAAGCGCACGCAGGUGGCUGAGAAAGUCGAUUGUGAAAGCCCUGGGCUUAACCUGGGAAUUGCAUUUGAGACUGCACGGCUAGAGUGUGUCAGAGGGGGGUAGAAUUCCACGUGUAGCAGUGAAAUGCGUAGAGAUGUGGAGGAAUACCGAUGGCGAAGGCAGCCCCCUGGGAUAACACUGACGCUCAUGCACGAAAGCGUGGGGAGCAAACAGG